AGCUCCAGUAGCGUAUAUUAAAGUUGUUGCAGUUAAAAAGCUCGUAGUUGGAUUUCUGAUGAACCAAAGUGGCCCGUUCCCUUUCGGGUAUGAGUGCCGCUUUGAGUUUGUCAUCCUUCCAGAGAGCUGCGUCUACCGUUUACUCGGCCGGGCGUAUGCGAUCUGGAUCUAUUACUUUGAAAAAAUUAGAGUGUUUAAAGCAGGCUUAUGCUGUGAAUACAUUAGCAUGGAAUAAUAAUUUAGGACUUUGGUCCUAUUUUGUUGGUUUCUAGGACUGAAGUAAUGAUUGAUAGGGAUAGUUGGGGGUGCUAGUAUUCCACGGCCAGAGGUGAAAUUCUUGGAUUCGUGGAAGACUAACUACUGCGAAAGCAUUCACCAAGGAUGUCUUCU
rnacentral:rRNA from 1 species